rnacentral:lncRNA from 1 species
GACACAGAGAGGUACAACGGGACGUGGAGUUGGAUCGAGCUGUCUCGUAAGGAAUAUCGGAAGGGGUGGGGACACUACUGGGAGAUGGCAUAGGUCCAGGACACUAAUUAGGCUUUGGCUGAGAUCAGAUAAAGGAAACUGUUCGUAAGCUGCUUACUUAAAAAGAAAGGAAAAGGUGCGUUUGAGUUCAGGAGACUGCGAGUCCCAGAGCAGGAGGCGGGAGCCAGCGAAGGGUGGGCGUGUAAGGGGUGCAGUCGCUUCUCCCGCUGGGCAAGAGACUCCCCCUUUCGGCAGCCUGGGUUCCCCGCCUCCCCACCUCCUGCUCCUCCUCCCCCGAGCCCUAAGGGCCCGCAGGGCCUCCAGUAGCAAAGCCACUGGCCCCGCGUCCCCGCGUCCCCCUGCGCCGCGCCCCGGGGCGCAGGCAGGGACCACGCGGCCGGCGUGGGGGCGGCGCCACCCGCAGCAGAAAGCCCCGGCGUGGACCGCGUGGCGUAGGAAAGCGCUCCCCUCGCCCCCAGCCGCAGAGGGCUUGGGCAGCAUCGGGCGCGGCCCCGGGAGAGUGCGUCCGCGGCGCCAGCGGCUGCAGGGUGACCUGUUUCGGGCGGGGACACUCACCAGAAGAACACGCGUGAGCAGAGGACCAAACGACGGUGCCAUGGGAGGCUCUUCAACCUGUGAGCCAAACAUUUGACCUUGGACGACAGCAAAGUUUAGCCACAGAUUAUCCUUGUAGAGCUGCAAGACCUCAAGAAAGCCGGAUUGGGAAAGGAAUAUAAGAGGAAAGAGAGACUGCCUGAUGAUUUCUGUCGUCAAGCCCUAAAGCCUAACAGAUAACAGUGGCAAACGACACGUGGGUUCCAGAAUACCAGUGAUGUUCAUGUGCAUUUCUGAGCUAGUCAAGUGAAGCAGUGGGAGUGGAAAAGGAGCAAAGAAAUCUGUAACUGGUUGUGAUUCCAUGAACUUUUUGAAAUCCCCUUGUAUUGGCUUCCUUCCCUCUUCUGUCUUACUUCUCUACUCCCUACAAGUGUUUUCUGGGAUCACCUCCAAAUAAACUACUUGCAAUCUAAUCCUGUCUCAAGUCUGCUGCUGUGGGAACCCAAACUAAGACACCUGCAAAAAAUAUCCUUCCAAUUACUGAAAAAUAUGUUCACUUGCACCCAUAAAAGUGUUUGCUAAUACCGUAGACCCUUGGCUGUACAAUAUGGUAGCAGUAUCCACAUGAGCAUUUUGGGACUUGAAAUGUGGCUGGUCCCAGUUGAGAUGUUCUGGAAGUAUAAAACACACUGACUUCAAAGACAGUGUCAAGAAAAAUGUGUUUAACGUCUCAUGAAUGAUUUUUUUUACAUGGAUUACAUGUUAAAAUGAUAAUAUUUGGACACAUUAGUUAAAAACAGAAAGUCAGCCCCCCAACAUUUCCAGGUAGAGAACCUAUCAAAGGAGACUGAAGUGAGAAGAAAAAUAGAGUCACAGAAGUGAAGAAAAUGUUUCAAGAAAGGAAAGCUGGAGCCCAUGCUUCUGAGAGGCUGGGAAAUUGAGGACAGAAGAGCAGCCACUGUAUUUAACAACGUGGGGACCUUUGGUGAAUUGAUCAAAUCAGUAUUUUAAAGAGAGGGAGACAGACCCUAAUUAAAAUAUAUUGAGGAGAGAAUGGAAUGUGAAGAUGUAAAGACAGAGGUUAUACACAACUUCUCUGAGAAAUGUUGCUGUGAGGAGAGAGAGAAAAUAUGUAAUUGUAGGAGAGAAAUCCUUGGGAAAGCAGUCCUCCACACCGUGGACUAUUCCAUAGCCAAUUUUAACAACAUAGGUGAUAGGGUUUGGCUCUGUGUCUCCAACCAAAUCUCAUCUCGAAUUGUGAUUGCCACAAUCCCCACAUGUUGAGGGAGAAACCCGAUGGGAGGUGAUUGGAUCGUGGAGGCAGUUGUUACCAUGAUAGUGAGUAUUUUAUAAAGGGCUCUUCCCCCUUCACUCCUUGCUCCCCUCUCUCCUGCCACAAUGUGAAGAAGGUCCUUUUUUCCCCACCUUCUGCCAUGACUGUAAGUUUCCUGAGGCCCCCUCAGCCAUGUGGAACUGUGAGUCAAUUAAAGCAUUUUCCUUUAUAAAUUACCCAGUCUCGGGUAUUUCUUUACAGCAGUGUGAGAAUGAACUAAUAUGAUGGGUGUAGUAGAUGUUGUCAGUGCCUGACCAGAACCCCCAGGCCCUUACCAUUUCACACUAGCCUGACUUCCGGCAUCUCUGCCUCAAAUCCUUCUGCUCCACCAGAGUUGGUUUAGCCCAAGUACAAGGCAGGCCAGGGAGUUAGUGUCUCCCUCUGCCCUCCUCCAGCAACAAUCAACUAAUAGAUAGACAAGAGCUGGUGUAUAAAUAACGGCACUCACUCACUCACUCCUCAGGUAACUGAGGUUUGCGUUUAUACUGUCUCCUAAAUUUCCUCAGCAGGAUUACUCUCCAGUAGCCCAGACUGGGACAUGUCUGAUGAUAUACCCUUUAUUGGCUUCAUUCCCUCCCCUGUCUCACUUCCCCA